rnacentral:snoRNA from 1 species
AAUACGAACUGGGAAAAGGGUCUGAAUAAAGAGAUUUGUGUGUUGCCAUAAGCCUCAUCUCUUGAAAUUGCUAAUGAGAAUGAAGUUAAACAACGACACUAAAUGU